AUACGUAGGGUGCGAGCGUUGUCCGGAAUUACUGGGCGUAAAGAGCUCGUAGGUGGUUUGUCGCGUCGUCUGUGAAAUUCCGGGGCUUAACUCCGGGCGUGCAGACGAUACGGGCAUAACUUGAGUACUGUAGGGGAGACUGGAAUUCCUGGUGUAGCGGUGUAAUGCGCAGAUAUCAGGAGGAACACCGGUGGCGAAGGGGGGUCUCUGGGCAGUAACUGACGCUGAGGAGCGAAAGCAGGGGUAGCGAACAGGAUUAGAUACCCUGGUAGUCCAUGCCGUAAACGGUGGGCGCUAGGUGUAGGGGUCUUCCACGACUUCUGUGCCGUAGCUAACGCAUUAAGCGCCCCGCCUGGGGAGUACGGCCGCAAGGCUAAAACUCAAAGGAAUUGACGGGG
rnacentral:rRNA from 1 species